UACGUAGGGUGCAAGCGUUGUCCGGAAUUAUUGGGCGUAAAGAGCUCGUAGGCGGUUUGUCGCGUCGAAUGUGAAAACCCGGGGCUCAACCCCGGGCCUGCAUUCGAUACGGGCAGACUAGAGUUCGGUAGGGGAGUCUGGAAUUCCUGGUGUAGCGGUGAAAUGCGCAGAUAUCAGGAGGAACACCGGUGGCGAAGGCGGUUCUCUGGGCCUUACCUGACGCUGAGGAGCGAAAGCGUGGGGAGCAAACAGG
rnacentral:rRNA from 1 species